rnacentral:rRNA from 1 species
CCUACGGGAGGCAGCAGUGAGGAAUAUUGGUCAAUGGGCGCGAGCCUGAACCAGCCAAGUCGCGUGAGGGAAGACGGUCCUAUGGAUUGUAAACCUCUUUUGUCGGGGAGCAAAAGACGCCACGCGUGGCGUUCCGAGAGUACCCGAAGAAAAAGCAUCGGCUAACUCCGUGCCAGCAGCCGCGGUAAUACGGAGGAUGCGAGCGGUAUCCGGUUUUAUUGGGUUUAAAGGGUGCGCAGGCGGAAGAUCAAGGCAGCGGUAAAAUUGAGAGGCUCAACCUCUUCGAGCCGUUGAAACUGGUUGUCUUGAGUGAGCGAGAAGUAUGCGGAAUGCGUGGUGUAGCGGUGAAAUGCAUAGAUAUCACGCAGAACUCCGAUUGCGAAGGCAGCAUACCGGCGCUCAACUGACGCUCAUGCACGAAAGUGUGGGUAUCGAACAGGAUUAGAUACCCUAGUAGUC